rnacentral:rRNA from 1 species
AUUGUACGCUGGCGGCAUGCCUUACACAUGCAAGUCGAACGGCAGCACGGGAGCAAUCCUGGUGGCGAGUGGCGAACGGGUGAGUAAUGUAUCGGAACGUACCUUUCAGUGGGGGAGUAACGUAGCGAAAGUUACGCUAAUACCGCAUAUUCUGUGAGCAGGAAAGCAGGGGAGUCGCAAGACCUUGCGCUGAUUGAGCGGCCGAUAUCAGAUUAGCUAGUUGGUGAGGUAAAGGACUCACCAAGGCGACGAUCUGUAGCGGGUCGUGAGAGGAUGAUCCGCCACACUGGAACUGAGACACGGUCCAGACUCCUACGGGAGGCAGCAGUGGGGAAGUUUU